rnacentral:rRNA from 1 species
UGCGUAGGCGGGUCUUUAAGUCAGGGGUGAAAUCCUGGAGCUCAACUCCAGAACUGCCUUUGAUACUGAGGAUCUUGAGUACGGGAGAGGUGAGUGGAACUGCGAGUGUAGAGGUGAAAUUCGUAGAUAUUCGCAAGAACACCAGUGGCGAAGGCGGCUCACUGGCCCGUAACUGACGCUGAGGCACGAAAGCUGGGGAGCAAACA